rnacentral:ncRNA from 2 species
AUUAAAUAUCGAGGGAUAAGUAAUCUUUUCCUGAGGGAAAGGAUUGAAAAGGGAAGUCAGUUGAAGACUGACGCGGUGCCCGCCACUGUGAAGGGGAGUUAACUUACUUAAUGUCACUAGGAUAAAACUUGGGAAGACGUGAGUUGACAAUGAUCUUGAGCCAGGAGACCUGCUUAUUCCGAAGUUUAAAC